AACUUAGCAGAGAUGCUUUGGUGCCUUCGGGAACUCUGAGACAGGUGCUGCAUGGCUGUCGUCAGCUCGUGUUGUGAAAUGUUGGGUUAAGUCCCGCAACGAGCGCAACCCUUAUCCUUUGUUGCCAGCGGUUAGGCCGGGAACUCAAAGGAGACUGCCAGUGAUAAACGUGGAGGAAGGUGGGGAUGACGUCAAGUCAUCAUGGCCCUUACGAGUAGGGCUACACACGUGCUACAAUGGCGCAUACAAAGAGAAGCGACCUCGCGAGAGCAAGCGGACCUCAUAAAAGUGCGUCGUAGUCCGGAUUGGAGUCUGCAACUCGACUCCAUGAAGUCGGAAUCGCUAGUAAUCGUGGAUCAGAAUGCCACGGUGAAUACGUUCCCGGGCCUUGUACACACCGCCCGUCACACCAUGGGAGUGGGUUGCAAAAGAAGUAGGUAGCUUAACCUUCGGGAGGGCGCUUACCACUUUGUGAUUCAUGACUGGGGUGAAGUCGUAACAAGGUAGGCGUAGUGCU
rnacentral:rRNA from 1 species